AAAGUCGUAACAAAGGUCUCCGUAGGUGAACCUGCGGAGGGAUCAUUACCGAGUGCGGGCCUCCGUGCCCAAACCUCCCAAACCCCUUUUGUCCAAAUGACUAAUCUGUUGCCUCGGGGGGGCGAACCCCGGACCUCGUGCCGGGGAGUCCCCCAGAGGUCCAUCAAACACUGCGUCUUGCGUCGGAGUAUUGAAAUCAAUCAAUUAAAA
rnacentral:misc_RNA from 1 species